CAGAAUGAACAGUAGGAAAUGGGAUGAGUAGGAGGAAAAAACGCUAAGAGGAGAGAAGUGACUGGGAUAGCGGAGAGGAGGAAGGAUCCGGAGCAACGGGAGAAAGAGCCGAACGUGGGAUCAACGAAACCGCGGGAAAAGGAGGAGGAACGACCAGACUGAUCUCAGUUCUUAUUCAGCUGGAAGAAAUGCCAGUUACAUAAAGAAUGCUGUGGAAAUACAGUUUGGAAUCAUCAUUGUUACUCCUUCUUCAAGACCGGAAUGAUGGAAAGAAUUUCAGCAUGUACGUUAAGCUCACGAACAAACUGAACACAUUAGACAUCCGCAUCCAGACGCACACAGCUGGCACGGCACUUAGAUGCCACUGACAAUGCCCUGGCAACCGAUGGGCACGUCGCCAAGCCAGCAAGUUGCCAAGCAGCGAGUUCCCAUAGCAACCUGCCAUUCGCUGGCUUUUUGAAUAAGGUAUAUGCAGACAGACACACAGGCUUAUGGGAGGGAGAUGGAUUUAGGUGAGGUGAAGAGUAGAGGAAGAGUGACAGAAGAAAUAAAAGGGAAAAAGAGAUAAAAAAGAGAUGAGAG
ensembl:lncRNA